CGGGGAAUAUUGGACAAUGGGCGAAAGCCUGAUCCAGCCAUGCCGCGUGUGUGAAGAAGGUCUUCGGAUUGUAAAGCACUUUAAGUUGGGAGGAAGGGCAGUCAGCGAAUACCUUGCUGUCUUGACGUUACCGACAGAAUAAGCACCGGCUAACUCUGUGCCAGCAGCCGCGGUAAUACAGAGGGUGCAAGCGUUAAUCGGAAUUACUGGGCGUAAAGCGCGCGUAGGUGGUUUGUUAAGUUGAAUGUGAAAUCCCCGGGCUCAACCUGGGAACUGCAUCCAAAACUGGCAAGCUAGAGUAGGGCAGAGGGUGGUGGAAUUUCCUGUGUAGCGGUGAAAUGCGUAGAUAUAGGAAGGAACACCAGUGGUGAAGGCGACCACCUGGGCUCAUACUGACACUGAGGUGCGAAAGCGUGGGGAGCAAAC
rnacentral:rRNA from 1 species